rnacentral:rRNA from 1 species
AGGUGCGAUCAUACCAGCACUAAUGCACCGGAUCCCAUCAGAACAUCGCAGCUAAGCGUGCUUGGGUGAGAGUAGCACUAGGAUGGGUGACCUCCUGGGAAGUCCU